rnacentral:rRNA from 1 species
AUGCUGCGCGUCCGGGACUCCUCCGGCGCGGCAGCGCUGGGGGCGGUGGCGGCAAGGAGGAGGUACCACGAGCGGGUGGUGGACCACUACAGCAACCCACGCAACAUGGGGGCGUUCGACAAGGACGAAGCCGACGUUGGCACCGAGCUCGUCGGCGCGCCGGCCCACAGGGAUGUCAUGAAGAUGCAGAUCCGCGUCGACCAUGCCUCUGGAUGCAGGGCCGGCCCUGAGGGGGGCGAACGGGGCGGCCGCCCCGGGCCCCCAAAAGUCAGUGGGGCCCUCCUAGGGCGUGGGUCAGAGACGGACGAGGAGGCCGAGCAGUCCGGCAUGCCGUCGCCUGCCAAGGUCUGGAUCCUCCCCCCUCUUCCCUUCCAUGGCAGCGCCCCGACCUGCCGCAUCUUCCUCCUCGCGAAGAAGAGUGGUGGAUCUGCAUCCUCGCUGCGGAAGGCUGCCGCUGUGCCGACUCCAACCUGUAGCCUGUUCCGGCUCAGGUUAUAUGAUGUGUACAUGGCAGUGUUACUGAACAGAAGGAGCAGUUCUGAGGAAGCGCUCAACCUUGACGUUGAUGCGGAGCAUCCCAAGGUCAUCCCCAUGGACCUAACAUCGUCUCACCAAGUGCCUAGCGGACCGAUGACUAGAGCUAGAGCUAGAGCUCUCGAGACCGAGGUGACCUCUCUCCUUAGUGACAUUACAUAUGAUCCUCUCGAGACAUGGCUACUACCUAAGUCCGAGACAUUGUGCAUGAUUAGGUACCAAGAAGACCCUCCUGAAGAUGCACGUGAAGACGGACAAGCCGCCAAGUCCACGGAUGAAGAGGAACGCUGGAAGGAGAAGAAGACACCUCCAGGACCCGGACAUCCGGCCCCCAAGCCCUGA